GAGGAAGUGGGCCAAGCAAUGAGCCUGCGAUUGCAUCAGGGCUGACGCACUCCCUGCCUUUUCCCCCACCUCAGUCUCCAGAGGAGCUCCUCGGGGCCAGGCCCAGCCCAGGAGAGUGGCUCAGGCCAAGGUGAAGAAGGGGAUGCUGGGGAGGGAUGCAAAUUAAAUUGCACUCUCCUUGGCUUGGGAAAGAAACAGCCAACAGAUUUGAAAGCUGGAGAUGAUGCAAAGAAGCCAAGGAGAAACAUGAAAACUCAAAUGUGCCCUGAACCAGUCUCAACCCCCAAGUCAAGGAAUGUAAAGUGCUGCAUUUUCUGGGAGCAAGAGAGCAAGUCUAUAUGGAAACUUGAGGUACUCUGAUGUGGUUUGGGAACCAAAAAAUAAAAGUGUUUAAGAGGGGCUUCCCUGGUGGCGCAGUGGUUGAGAAUCUGCCUGCCAAUGCAGGGGACACGGGUUCGAGCCCUGGUCUGGGAAGAUCCCACAUGCCGCGGAGCAACUAGGCCCGUGAGCCACAACUACUGAGCCUGCGCGUCUGGAGCCUGUGCUCCGCAACAAGAGAGGCCGCGAUAGUGAGAGGCCCGCGCACCGCGAUGAAGAGUGGCGCCCGCUUGCCGCAACUAGAGAAAGCCCUCGCACAGAAACGAAGACCCAACGCAGCCAAAAAUAAAUAAAUAAAUAAAUAAAAAUUAAAAAUGCUUUAAAAAAAAAAAAGUGUUUAAGAGAGUACCAGGGGGCUUCCCUGGUGGCACAGUGGUUGAGAGUCUGCCUGCCAAUGCGGGGGACACGGGUUCGAGCCCUGGUCUGGGAGGAUCCCACAUGCCGUGGAGCAACUGGGCCCGUGAGCCACAACUACUGAGCCUGCGCGUCUGGAGCCUGUGCUCCGCAGCAAGAGUGGCCACGAUAGUGAGAGGCCCGCGCACCGCAAUGAAGAGUGGCCCCCACUCGCCGCAACUAGAGAAAGCCCUCGCGCAGAAACGAAGACCCAACACAGCUAAA